rnacentral:sRNA from 1 species
CGACUUGAGCGCCAGCGAGAGAGCGUUGCCGCAGGCAACGACCCGAAGGGCGAAGCGUGCAGCGCUGAGUAAUCCUUCCCCCACCACCA